UACGUAGGGACCAAGCGUUGUCCGGAAUCAUUGGGCGUAAAGAGCGUGUAGGCGGCCGUACAGGUCAGCUGUGAAAACUCGAGGCUCAACCUCGAGACGUCGGUUGAAACCGUAUGGCUAGAGUCCGGAAGAGGAGAGUGGAAUUCCCGGUGUAGCGGUGAAAUGCGCAGAUAUCGGGAAGAACACCCGUGGCGAAAGCGGCGCACUGGACCACAACUGACGCUGAGGCGCGAAAGCUAGGGGAGCAAACAGG
rnacentral:rRNA from 1 species